CACCGCCGACAAUACGCCGACACUCAGCGGUGUCGCCGAGGCAAACGCGACGGUGAUGGCCUAUAGCGGAAGCACCGCGCUUCUGGUAACAGAAUUGGCAUGGUAAACCCCACCUGGAGCAAGACCAAAUAGAGGAACGUCUGCUUGCAGACAUGUGCGACCCGUACUGUUCCUGGGUAGGUUGCUUGAGGCUGAUGGUGACAUCAGUCCCAGAUGAAUGAUUGUCCACGACAGAACCCGGCUUAUCGGUCGUCUCAACCU
rnacentral:RNase_P_RNA from 1 species